CCCUGCUCAAUGAUAUAUUAAAUAGCCGCAGUACCUUGACUGUGCAAAGGUAGCAUAAUCAUUUGGCUUAUAAUUGAAGUCUAGUAUGAAUGGGAAUAUGGGUAGUUACUGUCUUACCAUAAAUUAAUGAAUUUACUAAUUAAGUGAAAAUUCUUAUAAUAAUAUAAUAGACGAGAAGACCCUAGAAAUUUUAUAUAUUUAUGUGAUUACAUAAGCUAUUUUGUUGGGGCGACAAAACAACAAUAAACUUGUUUACUAAAUAUUUGACCUUAUUGAGUAGAAUAAAUAAAUUACUCUAGGGAUAACAGCAUAAUACAAAAGAGUUUGUGACCUCGAUGUUGGACUAGGAAUAUUAUUGUUUAGAAGAUAAUAAUUAAGGCUCUGUUCGAGCUUAAUUUCCU
rnacentral:rRNA from 1 species